GACAGUGGCCUCGAGCGUUAGGCGGAAUCACUGGGCUUAAAGCGUGUGUAGGCGGAUCGUUAAGUACCUUGUGAAAUCCCACGGCUCAACCGUGGAACGGCUGGGUAUACUGGCGGUCUUGGGCCAUUCAGGGGCGACUGGAACAAGCGGUGGAGCGGUGAAAUGCGUAGAUAUCGCUUGGAACGCCGAAGGUGAAAACAGGUCGCUGGGGAUGUGCCGACGCUGAGACACGAAAGCCAGGGGAGCAAACGGG
rnacentral:rRNA from 1 species